UGUAACCUUUGUAGGGCUGGUUGCCUCGCCAGGAGCUCAACCCUCUCAGCGGACAUGCCCAACCCUCUCCGCGCCUGAAAAUUAUAUCACCAGAAAAUGCCCAUCAUCUAGCUUUGCCUUGGAAAUCCCCUCUGCACUGGGCACUUAGACCACCCUUGGAAAGCCCUGCCAAAACCUGCCCAAUAGCACAUUGCCCUGUCCGGAAAUCCCGCCUACCUACCUAUAGCAGCUUGCCAUGUCCAUGUCCUGUUUCUCCACAGCCAAACACCUUCACUCACUAUAAAACCCCACGCCCAGAGGAGUCGGGUCUUUCCCGGAGACUACAGAACCUCCCCCGAGAGCCAAAUAAAUUGGUGUCUAAUUGUUCUCAUGCAGGCCUCAGUUUCCUCAUUUUAAACUCGGCAAUAAACCUCGCAAAAGAAACAAUCUUGCAAGUGGUGCCGAAACCCAGGAGGAAUUAUAAGACCCCUCCUGGGGGAAACUGACUCCUCCACCCAAAGCCGGACCAGGGAACCGCUCCAUCACAAGAACUAAAGAAGAGGAAUGGUCAGCUUUCUGUUACUAUUGUAACAGUGAUGGCAGAACCAAGAGAGAAUGCACCCAACCUUGUAAUCACACUGGAAGGCCAUGAUUGUGACAAGUCUGCUAAUGGGACAUUGAGCAAAUGCUGUUGUUGGAUCCAUGGGGUUAACAGACACUGCUGGCUUCUCGGCUCAGGCUACAAUCUUCAUAGGCACCUGACUAAUCGGACAACCCGGGAAGAGGAUGACGCUGACCACCACUGUGAGGCAGACCAGGGUUGUGGGAUCAGCUUUGUGUAA
rnacentral:lncRNA from 13 species